rnacentral:rRNA from 1 species
AUUGAACGCUGGCGGCAUGCCUUACACAUGCAAGUCGAACGGUAACAGGUCUUCGGAUGCUGACGAGUGGCGAACGGGUGAGUAAUACAUCGGAACGUGUCUAGUAGUGGGGGAUAACUACUCGAAAGAGUGGCUAAUACCGCAUGAGAUCUACGGAUGAAAGCAGGGGAUCGCAAGCCCUUGUGCUACUAGAGCGGCCGAUGGCAGAUUAGGUAGUUGGUGGGAUAAAAGCUUACCAAGCCGACGAUCUGUAGCUGGUCUGAGAGGACGAUCAGCCACACUGGGAGUGAGACACGGCCCAGACUCCUACGGGAGGCAGCAGUGGGGAAUUUUGGACAAUGGGCGAAAGCCCGAUCCAGCAAUGCCGCGUGCAGGAUGAAGGCCUUCGGGUUGUAAACUGCUUUUGUACGGAACGAAAAGCCCCGGGUUAAUACCCUGGGGUCAUGACGGUACCGUAAGAAUAAGCACCGGCUAACUACGUGCCAGCCGCCGCGGUAA